rnacentral:rRNA from 1 species
AUUGAACGCUGGCGGCAGGCCUAACACAUGCAAGUCGAGCGGAUGAAGGGAGCUUGCUCCUGGAUUCAGCGGCGGACGGGUGAGUAAUGCCUAGGAAUCUGCCUGGUAGUGGGGGAUAACGUCCGGAAACGGGCGCUAAUACCGCAUACGUCCUGAGGGAGAAAGUGGGGGAUCUUCGGACCUCACGCUAUCAGAUGAGCCUAGGUCGGAUUAGCUAGUUGGUGGGGUAAAGGCCUACCAAGGCGACGAUCCGUAACUGGUCUGAGAGGAUGAUCAGUCACACUGGAACUGAGACACGGUCCAGACUCCUACGGGAGGCAGCAGUGGGGAAUAUCGGACAAUGGGCGAAAGCCUGAUCCAGCCAUGCCGCGUGUGUGAAGAAGGUCUUCGGAUUGUAAAGCACUUUAAGUUGGGAGGAAGGGCAGUAAGUUAAUACCUUGCGGUUUUGACGUUACCAACAGAAUAAGCACCGGCUAACUUCGUG